rnacentral:rRNA from 1 species
UACAGAGGUCUCAAGCGUUGUUCGGAUUCAUUGGGCGUAAAGGGUGCGUAGGUGGCGCCGUAAGUCGGGUGUGAAAUUCCGGGAGCUUAACUCCGAAACUGCAUUCGAUACUGCGGUGCUUGAGGACUGGAGAGGAGACUGGAAUUCAUGGUGUAGCAGUGAAAUGCGUAGAGAUCAAUGAGGAAGACCAGUGGCGAAGGCGGGUCU